UUUUUACCUUAGUCUAUACUGUGCAACGAAAGAAUCGCACUAUUUGACUAAAUUAGGUCCCCGACAACGGUGCCAAAAACUUGAUACGUCUCGUGACUGUAUAUAGAAUAUAAUUUAUAGGGUACUUGACUGCAAGUGCACAGUCCAGUCGUUUUAGUUUUAAAAAAUAUCAAACCCACAAGGACCGAUGGUCAAACUAAUGCUACCGAUGUUACUAUAUUUAGCUAAGGGAAUGAUUU
rnacentral:lncRNA from 1 species